GAUCUCAGCUUCCCUACGAGAUCUCCAACCGGGGUUGAAGGCUGGAAACACACCUGUACCACCACUGCUUUCAUCACUUCGGUUUGAAUUAACCCGCUCGUCAAUCAUUACAAGUCGGAAAAGGCGAGGAAUAUUCAAUUUGACGUCCUAUUUGAAUUAAUGAUGGUUUGAAGCCUAAAGAUAAUUUCUCCAUAUCUCCGGGAGCUUUAUCGAGUUUGACACGAGCCGAGCGUAAAGGUAGCAGGCGCGCGCGCGUACUGACACUAGCGCUUAACCGCUCUGACAGGAAAGCGUUUAAAAUGAGAUUGGGCGGGAAGCAGGAGCUGUGAGGAGACGAAGAAGAUUGGAGAGAUUUAUCCCAACUAUUCUAAGGUUUGCUUUCGAAAACAUGAAUUAGAAAAAAAAACAAAAAAACAACAACAACAACUAUGAAGCAUAAGUUUUACAAUGAGAAAACAAUGAGUUUAGUCAAAUACUAUUUUUGUUUGUUUUUCCACGGCAGCACCAUGAUGUUAUCUGACCCAAUAUGUGUCUGUCAGCCAGGAUUCAAAACAUUGUGGACCCUUACACAGGUGUAAGGAGACGUGGCUUUGCAUUGUCUGAGUUAGCUAAAACCAAAGCACCCUCAUGCAGUCUGGGUCAUGUGACAUAACAUCACAGAUGCGCUCCACUCAGUCAACAGUACACAGUGGGACGUGGGAUGUAAACAUGGAAUUUCUUGGCAAUAAAAGGGAAACAAAUAAA